AACAGAACGAAGGAUAGAACUGUUUUGCAUCACCAUUUGCAAAUACAAACCCACCGGAUGAUGAAGCACACAAACAAGAAACUUAAGCACAUCAUAUAUCUUCACGCCCGCAUAUGUUGUCCAUAGUUCUCUCUCUCCCUCCGCCUCUAUAUUUGUCGUGGCCGUCGCCAGAACCCCAAAACUUAGUGCCAAUACCAAAAUAUCCAGCCUCCUCCUUGUAGCCUAGAUCCUGCUUCAAAAUCGUUGGCGACGUAUCCGAGCCCGAAAUCGGGAUUGAACUAAGAGUAGAAGAUGAAGGAGAGUUUGAGAGGCCAAUCAGUGGUUUUUGAAGCCAGAGCCGGAAAGACGAGGAUGAGGCGGAAAGGCGAAGAAGGAGCAUGCACGACAAGUCCGAGCCACACUAAACAUAAGCUUCCACCAAAACUAGAGAUACCAGCCAGUUCGGCCAAGGAAAGGAAUAUGUUGGAACAUAGUUGAAGGCUAAUGGCUCUGCCAUACUCAUCUCUCUCCUCUGCCGAAGAAAAAAAACAAGAGAGAGAGGCUCCUCCGCCAUUAUCCCUCGCAGCCAUCGCCGGAACUCCAAAGCUCGGCACCACUACCGAAAUAUCCAACCUCCUCCUUACAGCCUAGUUCCACUUCAAAAUCUUUGGCGACGUAUCCGAGUUGGAAAUUGGGAUUGAACUAAGUGUAGAAGACAAAGGAGAGUUCGAGAGGCCGGUUGGUGG
rnacentral:lncRNA from 1 species